UUCCCUCCUUUGUCAUCCAGCUUUUUCCUUCACUAGAAACAUAGACAUAGGCAAUCAAGCAAAAUACUUUGAAAUGCUUUAUAUACUUGACCUGAAUCCACUUCAAGCCUCUUCCGACGUGAUAUUUUAUACACUCUUCAUAGGAGAUAUAUUCAACAAAUAGACGAUACAUGAGAUAGCUUUAGGAAAAAAAUUAUUUGGCAUACCUUUGGCCUUUAGCAUGCUCCUAGUCUUGUCGAUGACGGUCCUUUCUUUCUCUUUACAACUCCACUAU
rnacentral:lncRNA from 1 species